rnacentral:rRNA from 1 species
UACGUAGGCAGCGAGCGUUGUUCGGAAUUACUGGGCGUAAAGAGUGUGUAGGCGGUGUUCCCAGUCUGUUGUGAAAUCUCCCGGCUUAACUGGGAGGGUGCAGCGGAAACUAGAAUGCUAGAGGGUGGGAGAGGUAAGCGGAAUUCCUGGUGUAGCGGUGAAAUGCGUAGAUAUCGUAAGGAAGACCAGUGGCGGAAGGCGGGUCUCUGGACAGUUCCUGACGCUGAGGCACGAAGGUCAGGGGAGCAAACGGGAUUAG